rnacentral:rRNA from 1 species
UGGGGAAUAUUGGACAAUGGGCGCAAGCCUGAUCCAGCCAUGCCGCGUGAGUGAUGAAGGCCCUAGGGUUGUAAAGCUCUUUCACCGGUGAAGAUAAUGACGGUAACCGGAGAAGAAGCCCCGGCUAACUUCGUGCCAGCAGCCGCGGUAAUACGAAGGGGGCUAGCGUUGUUCGGAUUUACUGGGCGUAAAGCGCACGUAGGCGGACUAUUAAGUCAGGGGUGAAAUCCCGGGGCUCAACCCCGGAACUGCCUUUGAUACUGGUAGUCUUGAGUUCGAGAGAGGGGAGUGGAAUUCCGAGUGUAGAGGUGAAAUUCGUAGAUAUUCGGAGGAACACCAGUGGCGAAGGCGGCUCACUGGCUCGAUACUGACGCUGAGGUGCGAAAGCGUGGGGAGCAAACAGG